GUCAGCGGUACAGGCCAAUCGGCACAGCACUACAGGGCCGUGCAGAGAAACUAUCAGGAAAUGGCAGCUCCGCUCUAGCGGUCUUCCUGCAAACCUUUAUACAGCAGGUUUUUGCAUGUUUGGCAGUUUUUUCUGAUCGCUAGUUUUCUACUGGCUUUCACUGACUGUGCGAUUUAUUGGCGUCUUAUAGCGGCGGCGUGCUCCCGAAGAAGCCUGAAUGCGUCACAGCUUCUGGAGCAGUUAUUUCCGAGUGGUUCUUUUUUUUGAGGAAGACUGCGUGGAUUGAGUUGAGGGGCUCUAUCUACCUAAACCCCCCCCCCCCAAAGAAGUCAGAGGAUAGGGGUCACUCGUGUGUCUAUCAUUUGAGCCAUUCGGAGAGCAAGUGCUCAUUCACCUGGGCUUCUGUUUGCUAUAGGUGGAUACUUCUCUGCACAGCCUAUAAUUGAGUCAUCAAUGAGCAAGCGGGGAGCCAGAGCAGACGCAGCUAAAUUGUUAAUGACCGUUGGCUGCACAUUGAUCACCGCGGGACUCUGUCUGAGUUGCCUAACACUGAUGAGGUGUUGGACAGUGGUAGAGAUCGUUCCCCAGAUGGCCGUUGAGUCCGUCCUGGAGGAGAGGCUCUUAAAUACCAGCUUGGUUUGGAUGGAGACCACUCGACCGGCACACACAUUUAUCUACUCCAACAUCUCCCUGGAGGAGUCUGAAAAGGCUGGAGAGAUUGCAAUAAUACCUCUAACAAAGAGUUUGACGGAUCCUCCUGGGCCUGUGUGGGUUUCCUCCAGCUUCUCCAGUUUUCUCUCACCUCUUGAAAACAUGAGGUGGCAGACCUCAUGCAGACCUCAUUUAAUGGCAGACCUAACAGUCUGACAUGUGAGACUACCAUGACUCUGACCAUCACAAAUAUGUUGAUGAUUGAAUGAAUUGUUUCAGCAUGAUUCUGAUGAUCAAACUGAUUUAUAAGGAAUAGUAAACAUGUAUGGUUUGACCAAUGAACCUAACCCAUAACUUGGUUUUGGAUGAAACCAUUGGAACAGAAACAUGUGCAAUUAAAUAGUUGAUCACAUUUCCAUGAUAUCAGUGUGAAGAUAUGCAUUUAAUAAAACAGGCAGUUAACACUACUGUUCCCCAUGUAUUUGGGAGCCAUGAAAGAAGUAGAGCUUCCCCAUGUCGUGAAUAUUACUUUUACCCCUCAGACUUACAGACGUGUUUUUUAAGUAUGCAUACUUAUUUUUUUAAUAUGCAUACUUAUUUUUUUAAGUAUGCAUACUUAAAAUUCUAGUAGUACCCCUCAGACUUACAGACGUAGAUCAAACGUUUUGAAAUGAAAACAUACUGGAAUUUGCGAGUAUAUUUAUUUUGUCAACUUAUGUUUAAGUAUGUAUGUAUGUAAAUUUUGGCAUGCAUACUUAUUUUUUAGGUAUGCAUUCUUACAAUUCUAGUAUAUAUACUUAAAAUUCUAGUAUGCAUAAUUAUUUUUUAAGUAUGCAUGUAAACUUUGUG
ensembl:lncRNA